AAAACCUAAACAGAAAACACAAUUUCAUAUCAUUUGUGUUUUUUGACCAAAAGAUACAUUUUACAGCCAGGGUAUUAUAAUUUCUUGCGUUUGUAGCUGAUGGCCAAUAGUUAAUAGUGUAUUUUAUGAUGCAUUAGGGUCCACUUCAGUGGUCUGUGUGCAUUUAUAACAUAAAAAUCCACAAGAAACACAAGAAAAUAACUUUUAGAUAGCUGUCCACUGUAGUGACCUCUAUGCAUGAAAGAGUUAAUUAUAAGAUUGUAAACAAGCAUGAAAACCUAGCUGCUAUAGCAAGCCAGUUAGCUCAGCACUUCUUUCAUACCUGCUAAAGCCACAAAAUGCUGCUGUCCCUUCCUACCUAAUGUUCGUCAUGAAGACUUGUUUAAAAUUACCCAGGAUUAGUUGAACACGUUGGCCAAAAUAUGUGUAAUUUUCCUAUAAUAAAUAUAAGUGCCAAAAAUUAUGAAGCAAAAUGGAAAAAAUAUAGAACAAAGAAUGCACGGAAGAAAAUUGAGGAGUAUCAUUGGAAAUACUAAAACUAUCAAGAAUACACUUAAGCAUCAAUGUAUUACUGUUGAGAAACAGUUACUUGUUUCUCAACGGUAAUACAUAACCUGAAAAUGCAAAUUAGAGAGUCUGAUACAGUGGUCAGCUUAUAAUAAAUAUGUUAUUCAAGACCCACAAUUUAAUCAAUGGCUAGAAAAAGGUUUAACAGCAUUAUGUGUAGUCCUUAAAGAUGAUAAUUUUACAGGCUUCCAGGAACUACAACCAGAGUUUGCCCUAAGAACUGAAGAUCAUUUUAGUUACCUACAAUUAAGGGACUUUUAUAGCAAAGAGAUUAAACAUAAAAUAGACCUCAAUGAAAAUGUGAUGGUCAAAAUGCUGAUUGAAACCUAUAAGAGUAAAAAACACAGAACAGUAUCCUUAUUCUAUAAUAUUCGUUA